CCCUUAGACGUUCUGGGCCGCACGCGCGCUACACUGACCAGUGCAACAAGCAUCCGUCCUUGGCCGACAGGCUCGGGCAAUCUUUGAACGCUGGUCGUGAUGGGGAUAGACUUUUGCAAUUUUUGGUCUUCAACGAGGAAUUCCUAGUAAACGCAAGUCAUCAACUUGCAUUGAUUACGUCCCUGCCCUUUGUACACACCGCCCGUCGCACCUACCGAUUGAAUGGUCCGGUGAAGCCUCCGGAUUGGCGCGCACCUCGGUGCCGCCGAGAAGUUGGUUAAACCUUACCAUUUAGAGGAAGGUGAAGUCGUAACA
rnacentral:rRNA from 1 species